rnacentral:rRNA from 1 species
GAUGAACGCUGGCGGUAUGCCUAACACAUGCAAGUCGUACGAGAGUUUUUAACUCAAGUGGCGGACGGGUGAGUAACACGUGAGAAUUUGCCUUUAGGAGGGGGACAACAACUGGAAACGGUUGCUAAUACCCCAUAUGCUUUCGAGUGAAAUGAAUUUAUUCGCCUAAAGAGAAGCUCGCGGCUGAUUAGCUUGUUGGUGGGGUAAGAGCCUACCAAGGCGACGAUCAGUAUCUGGUUUGAGAGGACGAUCAGACACACUGGAACUGAGACACGGUCCAGACUCCUACGGGAGGCAGCAGUGGGGAAUUUUCCGCAAUGGGCGAAAGCCUGACGGAGCAAUACCGCGUGAAGGAAGACGGCCUAUGGGUUGUAAACUUCUUUUUUCAGGGAGGAAUUCAAUGACG